AGGUAUUGAGAGAUUUUAUCCCGGAAAAGACUAUGCCUUUUCUGGAUGAUGUUCCUAUAAAAGGGUACAAAGAAGGAGACAAGGAUGAAACUUUAGAUACGAGGGGGUGUCACAGAUAUGUUGUUGAUCAUAUACAAGAUUGUGAAAAGAUUUUAACUCGGCUUGGAGAAGUUCAUCUUACAUUAUCGGGUAUGAAGUC
rnacentral:lncRNA from 1 species